rnacentral:lncRNA from 1 species
UCAUGCAGUCGACCACCAAAGGCAGCAGCCCUCCCGCCCCCUCCCCCGCCACUCCACCUAGAGCAGAGCCUCGAAAGGCAUCCCCCGAGCCAAGCAAAUCGCCCGCAGGCAAAUUGCAAACCAAAGACGAGCCUGAAACCUCAUCACCAUCGCGUUCAACUAUGCGGUCCCCAUCCUCAUCAAAGCCUGCUUCGCCCUCUCGUUUAUCAGCUCAAUCUAGAUCACCUCAUCAGCCUCCCUCUUCACCCCAACCACCGAUCCUCGCUUCAGUCCCCGUCUCGAGUGAUCUCGCUGACUCCUUCCACUCCCAAACGAGCAUCAAAAUCUCAUUCUCCAUCCCGUGUCACUUCUCGUUCUCCUAAGCAGCAGGUGUCGUCGUCUAGCCCUCCUAAGGGGAAACAACCUGCUUCCCCAUCAAAAGAUUCAACACAGCCUACUGAAAAGAUCUCCACUUCGUAUGAAGCCCCCAUUUUUAGCUUCUAAAGAGAAUGAUCCAAAGCCUGCAGCAUCUCAACAAGAAGCAGAGGUGAAGCAAGAGGUUAAACCUGAUAGUGCUGUAGCAGCCAAUGGCCAAACUCAGCAAGGGACAAGCUUCAAGCACGACGAUGUGGAAGCCAAGCCUUCUCAAUCAUCGCAACUUCACAAUGAAGCACCACCUGCCCAAGGUCCGGAGACACGUGAAACGAGCAAAAGCUUAGGCUCUUCCAUUGUCAAUGAUGGCCGACAUGCCCCGACAUCAAACUGGAUGCAAAGCAUAAAGAAACUAAGGAUGUGAAGGAAGUAGUGGAAGCAACAAAAACAGAAGUGGCGACGAGAAAAAGAAGGAAGUCAAUGAUUCUAUUGCUCCAAAGUCUACCUCUGAUGCACAAAUUGUUGAAAAGGCUGAAAUCCCCAAAGAGAAGCAAGCGGUCCCCGGCACGAAGGAGUUUUUAGCACACCUGGUUAUGCUACAGCUUCUCAACUGGUGAAGAAAAGCAAGAGCUCUGGUGCUCGGGAGAAACCUGCUCUACCAAAUGAAGAACACACCCCGUUGCACAAAAACAUCAGGGCGACUGUCAAAGUUUGCCAACGAAUUAGCCGGUGAAGACCACAAAAAAGCCAUUUCUGAUAGACCUGUAAGUGUGAUAACCAUUGCAGGAGAAAAUAGAGGAGCAUCAAUGCACAUGGAGUCUGAUUCCUCAAAAGGAGAAGGGCAGAUUCACAUUCAUCGGAGCUAUAAGAGCAACCCCGAUCAAAGUCCUGAAGCAACCACUGAUGGAGAGGAAUGCUCUGCAGGGAAAAAGUCAGAAGACGAGAGAAGCAUGGAAGAUCAACUGACGGAGGCAUAUGUAAACAACAACGCACAAGGGAUCAACAACUCCAUUGUGUUCAACAGUUC